UACAUUUCUAUCUUUAUUACCCAAUUAUAAAUUCACAGUACAAAUUGUGUGGUAUUAUGCUUGUUUCUUUUUAACAAACUAACACUCCAAUGACUUGGUGAAAUAUUUAUAUUUUAACAAGUGUUUAUAUGAAACUUACAAAUGUAAAAAUCUACUUCUAUCCUAGAAAACAAGCAAACUGAAAUGAUGAAUGAAAAAUCUGACCCAAAUCUAAAGUGCAUUUUUAAAAUUGAUAUUACAACAAGAUAAAGUCAAUAACAAAACACCAAAAAACUAAAACAACUAAGGCAGCAACCAUUUGAUUUUCUGGGGGGGGCUAUGGUUUUUUUUUCUGUGCAAACUUUUUUUUUCGCCUGCGGCGAAAAACAAUCUAUUUUUUUCGCGAGAAGUCGAAAACUAUUUUUUUCUUUCAAUUUUAGCAUUACAUAUAGUGGCAGCUGGGGGUGAAACAAACAAUUUUUUUUUCUCAGAAUCAAAAACAAAUUAUUUUUUUCUCCAAAAACUGGAAACAAACUUUUUUUCCCAAAAAAAACCAUAGCCCCCCCCCAGAAAAUCAAAUGGUUGCUGCCUAACAAUUUCAAGUUUUCCACAAAAUCUUGUAGAAAUAAAUUAAUAAUGGAUUUAUUUCAAAGUAUAAAUCAAUUUCAAAAGGGACACACUGUUGUCAGUAGACAAACUAUGGAUAUGGAGAUACCAGAAGAUGUGGUAUAAGCGCCAAUGAGACAACUCUUCAUCCAAGUCACAAUAUAAGUAAAAGUAAAGACACAAAUUUUACCAUUGCAUUCAAUAAGAAAUAAUGUUUUGUUUUAUAGAUGAGUGUUAAAAUACAUGUAUGUCUCCUAGUCUUUUAAGUAACUAAAUAGUUUACAUUUAACUCUAGUCACUUUUAAACUUCAAGCAGAUAUGGCUAAAUAAAAUAAAUAACCCAACUUCUAAAAUACUCUAUGGAAAAUAUG
rnacentral:lncRNA from 1 species